GAUGAAGAACGUAGCGAAAUGCGAUAAGUAAUGUGAAUUGCAGAAUUCAGUGAAUCAUCGAAUCUUUGAACGCACAUUGCGCCCGCUAGUAUUCUGGCGGGCAUGCCUGUCCGAGCGUCAUUUCAACCCUCAAGCCCCCGGGCUUGGUGUUGGGGAUCGGCGAGCCUCCGCGCCCACCGUCCCCUAAAUCUAGUGGCGGUCUCGCUGUAGCUUCCUCUGCGUAGUAGCACACCUCGCACUGGGAAACAGCGCGGCCACGCCGUUAAACCCCCAACUUCUGAAUGUUGACCUCGGAUCAGGUAGGAAUACCCGCUGAACUUAAGCAUAUCAAUAAGCGGAGGA
rnacentral:misc_RNA from 1 species